ACGAACGCUGGCGGCAGGCUUAACACAUGCAAGUCGAACGCCCCGCAAGGGGAGUGGCAGACGGGUGAGUAACGCGUGGGAAUCUACCCAGCUCUACGGAAUAACUCAGGGAAACUUGUGCUAAUACCGUAUACGUCCGAUAGGAGAAAGAUUUAUCGGAGUUGGAUGAGCCCGCGUUGGAUUAGCUAGUUGGUGGGGUAAUGGCCUACCAAGGCGACGAUCCAUAGCUGGUCUGAGAGGAUGAUCAGCCACAUUGGGACUGAGACACGGCCCAAACUCCUACGGGAGGCAGCAGUGGGGAAUAUUGGACAAUGGGCGCAAGCCUGAUGCAGCCAUGCCGCGUGAGUGAUGAAGGCCCUAGGGUUGUAAAGCUCUUUCAACGGUGAAGAUAAUGACGGUAACCGUAGAAGAAGCCCCGGCUAACUUCGU
rnacentral:rRNA from 1 species